rnacentral:rRNA from 1 species
CCUACGGGAGGCAGCAGUGGGGAAUAUUGGGCAAUGGGCGCAAGCCUGACCCAGCAACGCCGCGUGAAGGAAGAAGGCUUUCGGGUUGUAAACUUCUUUUAAGAGGGAAGAGCAGAAGACGGUACCCUGAAAACAAGCCACGGCUAACUACGUGCCAGCAGCCGCGGUAAUACGUAGGUGGCAAGCGUUGUCCGGAUUUACUGGGUGUAAAGGGCGUGUAGCCGGGAAGGCAAGUCAGAUGUGAAAUCUGGAGGCUCAACCUCCAAAUUGCAUUUGAAACUGUUUUUCUUGAGUACUGGAGAGGCAGACGGAAUUCCUUGUGUAGCGGUGAAAUGCGUAGAUAUAAGGAGGAACACCAGUGGCGAAGGCGGUCUGCUGGACAGCAACUGACGGUGAGGCGCGAAAGCGUGGGGAGCAAACAGGAUUAGAUACCCCUGUAGUC